AAAUGACUCUCGGCAACGGAUAUCUCGGCUCUUGCAUCGAUGAAGAACGUAGCGAAAUGCGAUACUUGGUGUGAAUUGCAGAAUCCCGUGAACCAUCGAGUCUUUGAACGCAAGUUGCGCCCGAAGCCAUUAGGUCGAGGGCACGCCUGCCUGGGUGUCACAC
rnacentral:rRNA from 1 species